rnacentral:rRNA from 1 species
GACGAACGCUGGCGGCGUGCUUAACACAUGCAAGUCGAACGGAAAGGCCCUGCUUUUGUGGGGUGCUCGAGUGGCGAACGGGUGAGUAACACGUGAGUAACCUGCCCUUGACUUUGGGAUAACUUCAGGAAACUGGGGCUAAUACCGGAUAGGAGCUCCUGCUGCAUGGUGGGGGUUGGAAAGUUUCGGCGGUUGGGGAUGGACUCGCGGCUUAUCAGCUUGUUGGUGGGGUAGUGGCUUACCAAGGCUUUGACGGGUAGCCGGCCUGAGAGGGUGACCGGCCACGUUGGGACUGAGAUACGGCCCGGACUCCUACGGGAGGCAGCAGUGGGGAAUAUUGCACAAUGGGCGGAAGCCUGAUGCAGCAACGCCGCGUGCGGGAUGACGGCCUUCGGGUUGUAAACCGCUUUCGCCUGUGACGAAGCGUGAGUGACGGUAAUGGGUAAAGAAGCACCGGCUAACUACGUG